rnacentral:lncRNA from 1 species
CCAACAUCUCAAAGUCUCAAGUCAAAACCUCUCCAUCUGAUAAAGAAGUUCUGUCAGCUGCAAGCAAACUGAUUCCCUGUCUAUCUUUCUCCAGGAUGUGUGCACUACCCCAUGCAAAGGAUCCAGAGCCAAGUUGAGGCCACCUUAGAAGCUGGGAACCUUGUUACUGAGCAGGUCAAUACCAUCCAGCGAGGAGCCAACUGCAGGAGGCAGAAAAGCACCACUCACCACCUCCUGCAUGGGUGCGUUUGGCUGACAGCCGGAAAAAGAAAGAGCAACACUGAAAAUGUACUGGACAUGAUCACAUCUUGGGUAUUUAAUGCAAGUAGCUAAAUUACUGAGCGGGGUAUACAGCAGAUUUGCUCCUAGGCCUGGGAGUCCAUACAGCUGGGUUCUAAUCCUUGGCUCAUCUGCUGAUCUUGACUAAGUCACUUCCCCUCGG